UGGGGACAAGUCCGGUUCAGUUUAGCGGCUCUGUGGCCUCUUAAGAACAAGUCAAAGUGGCCCAACCCAGUCAGUUAAGACACUUAGUGCGCAGAUCACACAUCCAGGGUGAAAAACAACCCCGUUGGCAUAGAGUGUUCUGUAAACACCCAUGCAAUUAGUGUGUAUAUUUCUGGCUAAUAAGUACUGGUACCCUCUUGAGCCACUCAUGCACCUUAGGUGGACUUAUCCCUUGUGCAUCCAGCGCUGUAAUAAAAAUAAUGUGUGCUUCUUAAUACUACAUUGGUUCUAGGGGGUUUUAUUCCCCAUUUUCAGCGGCACUGUGGAGGCUUGUCCUGUGCCACAUUGCCUUGUGAGGGUGUCGGGGCCGUGGACUGGAGUUGGAUCCAAUCUCAGCCAAAUUCCAUGUUUUUUGCCCCAGCUAUGUGAUCUCGGAGAAAGGACACAGAAUUUGGAAGGAAGUUUUACGAGCACAGCAAAUCAUAUUCCAUGAAGAAACUCCUAUAACAAAUACAGGUCCAGAGUUUGUCCUAUCCCUAGAGCUCGCUGCAGGGAAGAGAAAAGUCCUGGAAGUCACAGGCUGUAGCUCCUUGCUGUCUGCUUGAGAGAGCUCAAACUUUGGGAUCGCAGGCCCAGAGGGCCUCUCUCAGGAGCAGAUGAAUAGCAGUGACAGUGGCAAAGCUCCGGCUGUCCAAAGCUGGUUCCAGGCACGGAAAAUUCCUCUGUGUGAGAUUCCAAGGUGAGACAGCCCAUCUCUGUAAUGUCCUGCUACCUUCACGACAUGAAGAUGUAUUCAACAAGCAGAAAAGACUAUGAAAUAUGCUUAAAAAUUUGAAAAGAGAAAUAUUUUUUUUCACAAACGCUGAAUCUUAAAAUCUGAUUGUUGCCUUGACAGAGUUUACAAAUAUAAACCCAUUUGUUUU